GUUAGCAGUCACACAGGCAGGGCUCGUCAGCCCGUGAACGUUUUUCAGUGACCAAAGAUAGCGAAUCCGGUUGCUCACGCGAGCGACUACUCCAAUCGCUAACGAGCCCGACAGCAGGCCAUUUGUCCACGGUCGUUACAACCUUAGAAAAUGUUCUUUCCUGGCUUUAUAUUGCACAACAUUCCUUGUAUACUGUUGGAGAUGGCGCGGCCUCGUAGUCCUAGCCCGCCGGGCUCAGUGGUGGCUAACAGCGUCCAGUCUUGUCUUGUCUUGUCUUGUCUUGUGUCCCAGACAGUGGUGCGUACCCACUAUGGGGGAUUGGCCAAGAAGCGUCCAGUCACGGGGUUCGCCCUUUCUUCCUCGUCUUCCUUUCUAGCACCAGCUUCGGUGUCGCGGAAUCCGGCGGCAGUUCCCACAAUACUAAACAGUGGCCAGGUUUGAUUUGAUAUUUCAUCACCACUUUCUUUCUGAAUCCCUCAAUGGCCUCGAAUGCAAGGAAAUCAAAUGAAAUAUGCGUCUAAGCCUUCGGCCUGCUGGCGGAUGCUUUCCGUUGACUAGGCCUGCGCACUUCUAACGGUGUUUCAUUUCUUUUUUUUUUUUUUUUUUGUAGUAAUGAUAAUUGUGCUUCCAUCAUUUCUCUCCAGAAUGUCACCGAGUGCCAGAGGGCCAAACUUUGGGCAAUGUGGGGGGACUAUCCUUUGCUCUCCAUGGAAAAGAAGAAGAUAAUUGAGAAAAUGAUUGAUUGCGGACUGACUAACCUUAAGGACGUGAGGGUUGGAUGGCUUCUAAUUGAUUACGG